GGGGUCGUAGCUCAGUUGGUAGAGCACCACAAUGGCAUUGUGGGGGUCAGGGGUUCGACUCCCCUCGGCUCCACCA
rnacentral:tRNA from 2 species